CCUACGGGGGGCUGCAGUGGGGAAUUUUCCACAAUGGGCGAAAGCCUGAUGGAGCAAUACCGCGUGAGGGAUGAAGGACCGUGGUUCGUAAACCUCUUUUCUUAAGGAAGAACACAAUGACGGUACUUAAGGAAUAAGCACCGGCUAACUCCGUGCCAGCAGCCGCGGUAAUACGGGGGGUGCAAGCGUUGUCCGGAAUGAUUGGGCGUAAAGCAUCUGUAGGCGGUUUCGAAAGUCGACUGUUAAAGCCCAGGGCUUAACUUUGGAAAAGCAGU
rnacentral:rRNA from 1 species